GGUGCAGGAUGGGCCCGCGGCCUAUCAGCUUGUUGGUGGGGUAAUGGCCCACCAAGGCGACGACGGGUAGCCGACCUGAGAGGGUGACCGGCCACACUGGGACUGAGACACGGCCCAGACUCCUACGGGAGGCAGCAGUGGGGAAUAUUGCACAAUGGGCGAAAGCCUGAUGCAGCGACGCCGCGUGAGGGAUGACGGCCUUCGGGUUGUAAACCUCUUUCAGCAGGGACGAAGCGCAAGUGACGGUACCUGCAGAAGAAGCACCGGCCAACUACGUGCCAGCAGCCGCGGUAAUACGUAGGGUGCGAGCGUUGUCCGGAAUUACUGGGCGUAAAGAGUUCGUAGGCGGUUUGUCGCGUCGUCUGUGAAAACCCACCGCUCAACGGUGGGCCUGCAGGCGAUACGGGCAGACUUGAGUACUGCAGGGGAGACUGGAAUUCCUGGUGUAGCGGUGAAAUGCGCAGAUAUCAGGAGGAACACCGGUGGCGAAGGCGGGUCUCUGGGCAGUAACUGACGCUGAGGAACGAAAGCGUGGGUAGCAAACAGGAUUAGAUACCCUGGUAGUCCACGCCGUAAACGGUGGGCGCUAGGUGUG
rnacentral:rRNA from 1 species